CCCUACCUCCCGAUCCCAUCUCAACCUCCAGCUUCCAGCGCGUCGCCACCCUCCCCCCGUCGCAUGCGUCGCCACCCUCCCCCCGUCGCAUGCGUCGCCACCGACGCCGCGGCCGUUGGAAGCUCCCCCGCUCAUGCUACUAUGGUGCCGCAAAGACAAACCAGAAUGCCUACGACCCCGACUCCCUCCCGCGCCGUCGCCGCCCUUUGCGGCACCACCCCGGCAGCCCCUACCACCGACGACCACCACAGGUCAUGGUCGACCGCGCCGCCGCCCCUGGUCGAUCCAAACGCCGCGGUGGAUAACGGGCUGCUGUGGUGAUGCACCGGGGUGUAGCGCAGCUCGGCGGCCUGGCUGUUUUGGUGGUGUUGGUCGCGGAGGACGGGGAACCAGUGGCAGGGAAGCCCAGCCUCUGCAUGCAAUGUCGACCUUAAUUAUAGAUGUUUCUGUGUUUGUUUUGGAUGAAGUGGACUGCUUGCUAGAGAGAGGAUUCAGAGAUUAGGCCAUGCAUAUCUUUGGCACGCUCUCAUGUCCACAGGUCAUGAUGUUUUCAGCAACAGUACAUUCAUAAAUUGUCAAACUCUGUCUUACACCAUGAUUGAUACAUGGAGUAUUUCUUGUGGGAACCUAGGUAAACCAAACAAAUCAAUUAGACAAGUGGUAAUUUGGGUGGAGUCUAAGCAGAAGCAGAAGAUUUUUGAGAUAAUGAAGAGUAAGCAGUACUUCAAACCUCCUGCUGUUGUAUUUGUGAGUUCUAGAGUUGGUGAUCUCUUGUCUGAAGCAAUUACUGCUGCUACUGGGUUGGAGUAAGUUCCAUUCAGGAUGAGAAAGCAAUGAAAAAGAUAAGAGAAAGAUUGAGACGGUUUCUCACUGGAGAAGUAUCUGUUGUUGUUUGUACACGGGUCUUGGGAUGUGGAAUGGAUCUUCUGAAACUACAUCAAGUUUUUGCUUGACAUGUCAAAUUCCAUUGAUGAAUAUAUUCACCAGUGACACAUUCAAGCAGUUGAGUUACAUUCAUAAAGGUGCUACUGCCAAGCCUGGAUUCGAUUGGAGAAUCCUCCAGUAGGAGCAGCGUCUGCCCACAACUGUUGUGGAUCGGGAAUGCAAGCCGGGUCGCCUCCACGUGGGCUAUUGUUGCAAGGUCACGGUGCUGCACCUCAGCUAAUUCAGUAGGGGUAGUUUAUUCCCUGUCCAAGUGUUUAUUAUUGAUCAUUGUCGCUUCAUCUGUUUAUUCUCAUCUAGCUCAUAUAUUUGGUGACUUUUUCAACGUUUGGCUAAUUCCUUUUUAUCUUUUGGAGCUUUGUGGUGAAGGCGAGAUGAAUUUAGAAGAGUUCAAUUUAGAGUCAGUGCAGUGUGUUGCCCGGAAAGAAAAUAGAUUGGUGCAGUGUCUCUCGCCUAUUGGACUCAGUCUAUUACGCUUACUAAAUAUAUACAUCUAUGUUGCAGAGAAUGGCCACAUGGAUGAUUAGCAUCUCUUCGCAAAUGCAUGUUAAUUCAGUGAAAAAGUACUACUGUAACUAUGACUAUGAGCGUAGAUGUCCACUCUUGAUUUUCCACUUUA